CAUCCACGGUCGAUAGAACGGACUAACAAAAAUUUGUUUUCUGUCCAUUAUGGUAUAACACAAUAAUAUUAUAUUAUAAGUAUUAAACUAAAUAUAAAUAUAUAAUAUGUUUAAAACUGAAGGUAAGUUAUUCUUUACUAUUAAUUUUUUUUUUUAAAUAAAAAUAGCAUGAACUGUUCAAAUAGUGAUUUUUUUGCGAACUAAAACGUUCACAAGCAUAAUAUUUCCGUCGUCGACCGGUCACAACUACAGCGACCAACUGACAUAACAGUUUACACACAUAACGUCGUUGUUACGAAAUACUACAGCAGUAGUGACUUGUGACUACCGAGUGCUUUUUUGUGUAUAUUUCAUCGUAUCGUAGUACUCGUUAUAGUCGUUACACACUGUACUCUGUAGUAAAAUAACCUCAGCGGAAUUUCUUAUCUGACGAUUGACCGACACGAUGAACGAUAACAGAACAGCUGCGAAUGGCCGCGGUCGCUUUCAAGGUCACGUCAAGAACACAAUACACAAAUACAGUAUAUUCAGCGACGCUAAUUAUUUGACAAUAUACCUAUUAUGCCCGAGUCUACUAAACGAGUUUUUUUUAAUACCGACAUUGUAAUAGGUAUUAAAGCCGCUUGAUUUUUUUGUUCGUGGGUAGGGUAAACCGGUUGUAUUAAUAAUUAACAUUCAAAAAUGAAAUCGCGUAAAAACCAUUUGUUUUUCAUGUGCAGUGUGGUCUGUGUGCACUCGACAUCGGAUGACCUUCCUAAACUACAACAAUUAUUACACACUAAUGUUAUUCACAGUCUGCUAUAAAGACCAAAGAGCCUAUAUUAUUUAGGUUAUGUCAUUUAUUCAUAGGACCUUACCUAACAAAGGCAAGAAUUUUUUUUAAACAAUGAAAAAUACAAAUACAAAAGCAUUGUAAACACGACAACAAGUUGUGCAAAAAUAGACUUGAAUGGUCUGGUAAACAUGUACCAUCAGCAAAUUCUCUACGAUGACAAAUGCUUUAAUGAUGAUUGUGUCACAUUCAGGAGACAAUAGAAGAACUUGUAAAACCACUAACUUCAAGAUUUAAUUGAAGAUCAAUACUACUUAAAAAAGUUUAUAAAUAUAAGUCUCAGGAAUUUCGAGGCAAUUGCUAUAAUAUAUGUGGACGCAUAGAUUUACAUUUACCCGAAAACAUGCAUUGUACCUAAUAAACCAAUCAAAAAAUUAAUAAUGUUAAAAAAAUUGCACCAAUAAGUCUUAAAAAAUCUGUUACAUAACAAAAAAAUACAACAAAUUCAUAUGUAUAUAUUUUUAUUUUUUGUAAAGGAAAUAAAAUCAGAACAAUCAUUUAGAUAAGUUAUUCCAACAUACAAUUUCAAUACAAGUAGUUACCAUAGAACCCAAAGCAUCAGACUUUAUUGAUUUAAUUGAAGAUGGUGAUGAUGACCAAGUUGAUAACAAAGACGAUAAUGAUUAAACAUAAUUAAUUUUUUGCUCUUUUGGGUUGGGGUUCUGUUGAUUGGUCACUCAAACUAUGAGUUUUUGACUGUAGUUCAGUAGUAUCUGCAUUUGAUGAUAACACACUAAAAUUUGGUAUUUCAGGCUUAACUAGUUUUAAUACAAUUCUUUCGUGUUGAACAUUGCUGCUAUCAAGACUUAACUGAACACUAACGGGAUCAAAUGUUCGGAAAACUACAUCUCCACAUCUUUGAGUUUGUUCCUAUAUAAAAUAAAAAAUAGAAUAGGCGUCUAUUAUUGUUUUCAUAAAAUGUAUUAUAUAUUAUACACCAUACCUCUUCGUUGUAAACAAACGUUACUGUUUGAACUUGUCCUUUGCGAGGGGCCAAAAAAAGAGUACCUUCUAAACCAUACUUGGGUAUAAGUAUUUGUAAAGCAUUUUUCCGGACAUAUAAUAUGUAACCUUCUUCAUCUCUGAUUUUACCCCGAAAGAAAAUCUGUUAAAAAUGGUAAAGUUGUAUAAAAAUACAUUAUAAGAAAACAUAAUAAGUCCUAAGAUUAUUACGUGUGUAUUUAAUGCAACAGAAGCACGUUCGGCAUAUGCUGACAUUCGGGUUCGAACAUUUAAAUUCUGACAAACCGCUUCAAUUUUUUUCUUAUCAAGUAAUUCAGGCGUGGUUGUUUCUGCUGCAAUAGAAACAGCUAACAAUCUAUGAACAAGUAUAUCCGCAUAUCUAGGGGAAAAUAAAUAAGUAAAAUUUUGGUUAUUUGAAUUAACUUUUUAAUUGAUGAAUAAACAGAUUAACUAUUAUUUCAUAUUUGCAGACCUUCUGAUAGGGGAUGUAAAAUGUGUAUAAAUUGGGGCAGCCAACCCGUAAUGUAAAAAUUCAUCAAAUGUCUUUGUACCACUGGUAAAGUAAACGGCUUGCAACAUACAUCUAGUGGCAAGAAUACGCAACAUGGUGUUGAAAAAUGGGUUAUCUGUUUGUACAGCCAUAUCCAAAGAGUUGGCCAAAUCUUUGCUAGUGUCAACAUUUAGUUCUACUCCCUGAAAUACAUUAACAAUUAGAUAUGUGUACUUAAAUAAUUUUAAUUUAGAUAAUUUGUUUUCGAACCAAAUAAUUUGCCGCUUUAAUUAACGAUUCGAAAUUCGAAGGUGGAGGCUUUGGGUGACGUCUUAAAACAGCAAAUUCUGGAAAAUCUUCAUAAAUUUUUUUAGCUACUUCUACAUUAGCUAACAACAUAAAUUCUUCAACCAUUGAAUUAGUUUCUUUAAUUUGUUUGAUUUCAACAUCUAACGGAUCUCUUGUCUCACUGUCUACAAGGAAUCGAAUUUCUGGAGAUGCCAAUACUAAAGCUCUGAAAUUGAUUUUAUUUCAAAACAUAUUAGAGUCUAAUAAUAACAAUAAUUACCAAAUACAAAACAUUUAAAAUCAGUCAUACCCAGCAUCUAGACGCCUUUUCUUUAAUAUUUUAGCAAAUUUAUUGAGUUGUCUUAAAGCUUUAGCGAUUGAAUUAUCUUGUUGCUGAUCAUCGAUAAUUAGCUGUGCUUGUUCAUAAGUCAUGGCGGCUUUAGAUUUUAUUACACUCUUAGUAAAACUACUUUUAACAAUUUCUGCUUCUAAAGUCAUUUCCCAGACACAAGAAAAUGCUAAACGUUCUUCACCGCCACGUAACGAACAUAAAUUUGAACUUAAUAGUUCUGAAAAUUGUUUGAUUAGCGAGUUUGAUUUUAUAAUUUAAACUUAAUAUUUCAAGUACUUGCCUGGUACCAUGUCAAUACGACGACCCGUUAAGUAUACAGUAGUAGCUCGUUGGCUAGCCUCAAGAUCUAUGGCUGUUCCGGGUUUGAUGAAAUGUGUUACAUCAGCAAUAUGUACACCUACUUCAAAAUUGCCAUUUUCCAAAGGUUUACAGUGUAAUGCGUCAUCAAUGUCAGUACAACCUGGAGGAUCCACAGAACAAAUAUCCAAAUCGCGAAAGUCUUUUCUAUAUGCCAAAUCCUAAAAUAUAUUAUUAUUUAUUGUCUUUGGAAA